CACACGUCCCCUCCAAUCAUCCCCUCCAACUUGGAGUGGGGAUGAUCCGUUCGGCCACGCGCGCGCGCAUGCUCGCACACAAGCAACGCGCCGUAUAUACGUGUGCACACGUAUUGGAAAUGUGAACCGAAUAUUACCGAAUCUCACCGGAAAGAGUCGAUGUCAGAUGAGUCCUCCCGCGCCCCGAAUAUCAGACCCCUCUUGCCCAGAGUCGUAGCUAAUGCUCCGUCUAUAGAAGUCUAUGGUCUACUCCGCAUGUAUUACACAGAGAGAGUAACACAAGAAGGAGAGAGAUAGCCGAAAUGGAUUUGAUAUAAAAAGGACUAAAGAUACAAUCAAUUUACAAAAUGACACUGAAAAUCUCAACGAUAUUUAUGACCGAAUCAUAGAUUUAAUUUAAUUUCUGACACUAUCAUUUAUUUAUUUAUUUAUGUUAUUUAUUACUUGACCUAUUAUUUGACUUUCACUUGUUUGUACCGAUAUCCUUUACAUAUCGAAUUUUAGUCAGUCAUGUUUUGUCAGUGCUCAAGAUAAGUUCACGUAAUAUGAUUAUAAUGACCAUCCUCACAACACCACUAAAUACACGUGAUCCUAUGCACGAUUAAUACAGUUACACUUGCUUGAAAAGGACCAAAACCCAUGGUCGA